rnacentral:rRNA from 1 species
CUGCUUGGUAAGUUCUCUGUGAAAUCCGGCCGCUCAACGGUCGGGCGUGCAGGGAAUACUGCCAGGCUUGGGACCGGAAGGCGUCGGAGCUAUUCCAAGGGUAGGAGUGAAAUCCUAAAAUCCCUGGAGGAGCACCAGUGGCGAAAGCGUCCGACGAUGACGGAUCCGACGGUGAGGGACGAAAGCCAGGGGAGCAAAGCGGAUUAGAUACCCGCGUAGUCCUGGCCAUAAACGAUGCCCGCUCGAUGUCACGCCUCCUCCGAGGACGCGUGGUGCCUCAGAGAAAUCGUUAAGCGGGCCGCCUGGGGA